GCCGGAGUAGCUCAGUGGUAGAGCAACUGUUUCGUAAACAGUAGGUCGUGAGUCCAAUUCUCACCUCCGGCU
rnacentral:tRNA from 1 species